GAGAGAUGGCAGAGUGGUCGAAUGCGGUUGACUCGAAAUCAAUUGUGCGUGUAAGCGUACCGGGGGUUCAAAUCCCUCUCUCUCC
rnacentral:tRNA from 1 species